rnacentral:rRNA from 1 species
AUGUCUGUAGGUAUGCUCACAGGUUGUCCUGCAGAGGAGAUGCCCGGUUCUACGGGUGACCUUCUUCCCGAACUCAUGCAACUGCACGAGCGAAUUCGGCAGGCGAUGCGAGGUGUUGCCCAAGUCUUAUGGCCUGCCCACUCCAUGCCCGAGGGCCUUGGAGAGCUUGCGGAGAAGCUGAAGGGAGCUCGGCGGCGCUUUCGGUUGUGGAAGAUAUCGGCCUGCCGACAAGGCGCUAGGGAAGCCUGGGCCAUGGUGAAGACCCGUUUUACGAAGUCUGACCCAAACCACAUGGCCGAGGUCGGACUAGUGGGGCCUGACGGGAAGGAGAUCCCUGUGAGCUUAGUAUACGGCCAAGUAGAGUUGGCCGCGAAGUAUUCCCAGCAGGACUGUAAAUUAGAUAGCCUGUUAGAUGGUAUAGAAGAGGAAUACAAUCAGUCAUAA